AUUGAACGCUGGCGGCAGGCCUAACACAUGCAAGUCGAGCGGAUGAAGGGAGCUUGCUCCUGGAUUCAGCGGCGGACGGGUGAGUAAUGCCUAGGAAUCUGCCUGGUAGUGGGGGAUAACGUCCGGAAACGGGCGCUAAUACCGCAUACGUCCUGAGGGAGAAAGUGGGGGAUCUUCGGACCUCACGCUAUCAGAUGAGCCUAGGUCGGAUUAGCUAGUUGGUGGGGUAAAGGCCUACCAAGGCGACGAUCCGUAACUGGUCUGAGAGGAUGAUCAGUCACACUGGAACGGAGACAGGGUCCAGACUCCUACGGGAGGCAGCAGUGGGGAAUAUUGGACAAUGGGCGAAAGCCUGAUCCAGCCGGGCCGCGUGUGUGAAGAAGGUCUUCGGAUUGUAAAGCACUUUAAGUUGGGAGGAAGGGCAGUAAGUUAAUACCUUGCUGUUUUGACGUUACCAACAGAAUAAGCACCGGCUAACUUCGUG
rnacentral:rRNA from 1 species